rnacentral:rRNA from 1 species
AGCAGCCGCGGUAAUUCCAGCUCCAAUAGCGUAUAUUAAAGUUGUUGCAGUUAAAAAGCUCGUAGUUGAAUUUCGGGAUCAGUACGCCGGUCGUGCCUUCGGUAUGUACUGGUGUCACUGAUUCCUCCCUUCUGAAGAACCGUUAUGCCAUUUAUUUGGUGUGGCGGGGAAUCAGGACUGUUACUUUGAAAAAAUUAGAGUGUUUAAAGCAGGCAAGCGCUUGAAUACAUUAGCAUGGAAUAAUGAAAUAGGACGUUUGAUUCUAUUUUGUUGGUUUCUAGGAUCGACGUAAUGAUUAAUAGGGAUAGUUGGGGGCAUUAGUAUUCAAUUGUCAGAGGUGAAAUUCUUGGAUUUAUUGAAGACUAACUACUGCGAAAGCAUUUGCCAAGGAUGUUUUCAUUAAUCAAGAACGAAAGUUAGGGGAUCGAAGACGAUCAGAUACCGUCGUAG